rnacentral:siRNA from 1 species
UUGGGUAAUGACUAUGCUCAUGA